rnacentral:lncRNA from 1 species
CCCCCCCGGCUGGCGCUGGCUCCCCCGCGGCCCCCAGCGCCGGCUCAUGCUCCCCCCGUCCCCUUCCCACCCAGGCCUGCCGCAAGGUUUGGCUUGGUGCUGCUGACCCGCGAGCUGCCCCGCUGCCGGACUCGCGCGACCCGCAGAAGGUGAAGGAGUUCCUGCAGGAGAAAUACGAGAAGAAGCGCUGGUAACACGGCAGCUGCCUCGCGGUGCCUCCCGCUUCCAUUUCUGUAGGGCCCGCUGGCACCCGCCAGGGCCGUGCUGCCGCCAGCCUGCUCACCCGCCCCUUGUCUCCCCACAGGUACGUGUCGCCAGAGCGAGCCAAGGCCGCUGCUGCCUCCUCGCUGCCCAGCCAGGGCUUGGCCGCCGAGGCUGCGCCCGCGCAGACGCUCCUGGGGGACGCGGCGGCACCGGUGCUGGCGGGGGCGGCCGGCCAGGUGAGUGGGGGCCACCCGGGUCCCGCAGGGAAGGGGGAAACAGGGAGCUCGGCCGCCUGGGUGCCCGGUCCGUGACGCCGGCCGUGUCUCUCAGCCCCGCCUGGCCCAGAACAGGCCCCCGCCGCCCGCCAAGAAAGCCAGCACCGACCUGCUGGCCGACAUCGGGGGGGACCCGUUCGCCGCCCCCCAGCCGGCGCCUGCCUUUGCCGCCUUCCCGGCCUUCCCCGGCCAGGCCCCGGCCCACGCUGCCUUCGCCAACUUCGACGCCUUCGGAGCCGGCCCAGGAGCGCCCGCCUUCGGGGGGGCCGCGGCCCCUUUCCACCCCCUCCCCGCGCCCACAGGUACCUCCGGGGCUCCAGGACUAACGGGGAGGGGUCCAGGGUGUCCCCCCCAAAGGGAUUAAUGGGGGGGCUCGGGGGGCUCCCCCCUGCCCUGCCCCCACCCCGGACACCUGGGCUCCCCCUUGUCUCCCGCAGGGGGCGCUGCUGUGCCAGGUGGCCCCGCCCCCGCCAGGAUGCCCGAGGUGGGCGGAGCCAGUGUC